UACAGAGGGUGCGAGCGUUACUCGGAAUUACUGGGCGUAAAGCGUGCGUAGACGGUUAUUUAAGUCAGAUGUGAAAGCCCCGGGCUCAACCUGGGAAUUGCAUUUGAGACUGAAUAGCUAGGGUACGGUAGAGGGAAGCGGAAUUUCCGGUGUAGCGGUGAAAUGCGUAGAUAUCGGAAGGAACAUCAGUGGCGAAAGCGGCUUCCUGGACCAGUACCGACGUUCAGGCACGAAAGCGUGGGGAGCAAACAGG
rnacentral:rRNA from 1 species